AAGUGGGACUCAGACUACAAUAGAGCUGUUAAGUGCUGUGUUGUGGUUCCCACAAUAAAGUUGCUCUUAAGUAUACCUGUCUGCUGUGCUCCUAUAGCAGCCAGGGAUGCUUGGUCUCAUACAU
rnacentral:snoRNA from 1 species